ACUACUUGGCUGUUGACACAACACAUUUCACAUGUGACUUAGUUAUUUCACCUCGGUAUUAUCUCUGGAUUUUCGGUCACGGUUUUUGAUUUUCAUUACUAAUGUACUGUUUCGCCCCUGUUUUGUCUAUCACAUAGCUCAAAUCCCAAACUUAGUGUUCAUUCAUCGUAGUAGGCAUCUACAGGUUAUUAUUAAUUAAAAAGAAGUAUGGCUACCAAAAAUGUANAACACUUGAAAAAGCGGAAACGACCUGCACCACCUGUGAAUUCGGAAGACAAUGACGAAAAUUAUAAUGAUGCAAUUCAAAUCAGAGUGGGAUCUAAUUAUCAGGCUGACAUCCCAGAGCUUUUGUCACAGCCAGAAAACAAGCAUAAACAGCGUCCAAAAUCACUGUUAGUUUGGUUUCCGCCCAAAAAUAUUUCAGAAAUUCAAUUAAAUGAUUACAUAUUGUUUUCAAAAAAUAAAUAUGGUUAUGACACUGAACAGUGUUUAGGCUUAUUGUACUGGAAUAAACACAAUUUGAAAAAAUCUAUUCGUGAUUUAUCCAUGUUUUCACCCCAAUCAGAUUGGUCCAUUCUUGAUAAGUCUAACUUUGAAUCUGCCUUUAACAAGGUUGGGAAGAAUUUUGCACAAAUUACAAAAAUGCUUCCUGACAAGUCAUUAAAAUCAAUAAUCUGUUAUUAUUAUUUAUGGAAAAAAAAAAAAACUGAGCUGUUGAGUGUUAAACCAACAAAGAAAUCGGAAAAUUUUUGUGCUGACAAGAUUCAAAAUGGCAGUAGUUAUAAGCCUAGUUCAGCAAAAUCAAAGCCUGAUAAUUUGGACUAAUGAAGUAUUCACCACUACAAGACAAGUAUGUUAAUAAUAUUAUGAUAAUCUUCAAUCUAUUGCAUUUGGAUCAAAUAGCCUAGGAGGAACUAUCUUAUCAGCAAUGGAUGAUGAGAUACAGUCCAACAACUAAACUAUUGGACAUAUGCAUUAGAAGAUUAAACUAUAUGAUACUGUAUAUAGAAACAAUGAAUCCAAUAUGAGUUACAUUAUUCCAUUUUCAAGUUUUGCAUAAUGUCCAAAAUAAAAUUAAGGGAACAUUUUAACAAUACAAUUCAUUACUAACUUACAAAGAAGUACAUAUAACAUUUAUGUGAUUUAAUGUUUCAUUAUUUUUUAAAUUGUCCAUUAUUUUAAUUGU
rnacentral:misc_RNA from 1 species